UACAGAGGGUGCAAGCGUUGUCCGGAAUCAUUGGGCGUAAAGAGCGUGUAGGCGGCCCGAUAAGUCCGCUGUGAAAGUCCAGGGCUCAACCCUGGAAUGCCGGUGGAUACUGUCGGGCUCGAAUCCGGAAGAGGUGAGUGGAAUUCCAGGUGUAGCGGUGAAAUGCGUAGAUAUCUGGAGGAACACCGGUGGCGAAGGCGGCAUCCUGGACCAAUUCUGACGCUGAGGAGCGAAAGCCAGGGGAGCAAACGGG
rnacentral:rRNA from 1 species